rnacentral:rRNA from 1 species
GACGAACGCUGGCGGCGUGCUUAACACAUGCAAGUCGAACGAAGUGGCGAACGGGUGAGUAAUGAGUAAUCAACCUGCCCUUCAGAGGGGGACAACAGUUGGACACGACUGCUAAUACCGCAUACUGUAGGUGGGGGUUGCGUCGGAUUCGCUAGUUGGGGGGGUAACGGCCCACCAAGGCGAUGAUCGGUAGCCGGUCUGAGAGGAUGAACGGCCACAAUGGGACUGGGACACGGCCCAGACUCCUACGGGAGGCAGCAGUGGGGAAUCGUCCGCAAUGGACGAAAGUCUGACGGAGCAACGCCGCGUGAGUGAUGACGGCCGUCGGGUUGUAAAGCUCUGUUAAUCGGGACGCGGUACCGGAAGAGAAAGCAACGGCUAACUACGUGCCAGCAGCCGCGGUAAUAC